rnacentral:rRNA from 1 species
AUUGAACGCUGGCGGCAUGCCUUACACAUGCAAGUCGAACGGCAGCACGGGAGCUUGCUCCUGGUGGCGAGUGGCGAACGGGUGAGUAAUACAUCGGAACGUACCCUGAAGUGGGGGAUAACGUAGCGAAAGUUACGCUAAUACCGCAUAUUCUGUGAGCAGGAAAGAGGGGGAUCGCAAGACCUCUUGCUUUAGGAGCGGCCGAUGUCGGAUUAGCUAGUUGGUGAGGUAAAGGCUCACCAAGGCGACGAUCCGUAGCGGGUCUGAGAGGAUGAUCCGCCACACUGGGACUGAGACACGGCCCAGACUCCUACGGGAGGCAGCAGUGGGGAAUUUUGGACAAUGGGCGCAAGCCUGAUCCAGCCAUGCCGCGUGAGUGAAGAAGGCCUUCGGGUUGUUAAAGGACU